rnacentral:rRNA from 1 species
ACCAUGCCGUCGAGCGGAGAGAGGUAGCUUGCUACUGAUCUUAGCGGCGGACGGGUGAGUAAUGCUUAGGAAUCUGCCUAUUAGUGGGGGACAACAUUUCGAAAGGAAUGCUAAUACCGCAUACGUCCUACGGGAGAAAGCAGGGGAUCUUCGGACCHUGCGCUAAUAGAUGAGCCUAAGUCGGAUUAGCUAGUUGGUGGGGUUAAAGGCCUACCAAGGCGACGAUCUGUAGCGGGUCUGAGAGGAUGAUCCGCCACACUGGGACUGAGACACGGCCCAGACUCCUUACGGGAGGCCAGCAGUGGGGAAAUAUUGGACAAUGGGCGCAAGCCUGGAUCCAGCCAUGCCGCGGUGGUGGUGAAGAAGGCCUUAUGGUUGGUAAAGCACUUUUUAAGCCGAGGRAGGGAGGCCUACUUUUAGUUAAUUACCUAGAAUAUAGUGGGAGCCGUUUACUCCCCCAAAAAUAAAGCCACCGGGCUUAACYUCUUGUGGCCAACCAGCCCGCGGGU